rnacentral:rRNA from 1 species
GACGUAGGGUGCGAGCGUUGUCCGGAUUUAUUGGGCGUAAAGCGUGCGCAGGCGGCUUUGCAAGACAGAUGUGAAAUCCCCGGGCUUAACCUGGGAACUGCAUUUGUGACUGCAUGGCUGGAGUGCGGCAGAGGGGGAUGGAAUUCCGCGUGUAGCAGUGAAAUGCGUAGAUAUGCGGAGGAACACCGAUGGCGAAGGCAAUCCCCUGGGCCUGCACUGACGCUCAUGCACGAAAGCGUGGGGAGCAAACAGG